CGGCAGCGGAGGUAGCUUGCUACUUUGCCGGCGAGCGGCGGACGGGUGAGUAAUGUCUGGGAAACUGCCUGAUGGAGGGGGAUAACUACUGGAAACGGUAGCUAAUACCGCAUAACGUCGCAAGACCAAAGAGGGGGACCUUCGGGCCUCUUGCCAUCAGAUGUGCCCAGAUGGGAUUAGCUAGUAGGUGGGGUAACGGCUCACCUAGGCGACGAUCCCUAUCUGGUCUGAGAGGAUGACCAGCCACACUGGAACUGAGACACGGUCCAGACUCCUACGGGAGGCAGCAGUGGGGAAUAUUGCACAAUGGGCGCAAGCCUGAUGCAGCCAUGCCGCGUGUAUGAAGAAGGCCUUCGGGUUGUAAAGUACUUUCAGCGGGGAGGAAGGCGUUGAGGUUAAUAACCUCAGCGAUUGACGUUACCCGCAGAAGAAGCACCGGCUAACUCCGUGCCAGCAGCCGCGGUAAUACGGAGGGUGCAAGCGUUAAUCGGAAUUACUGGGCGUAAAGCGCACGCAGGCGGUCUGUCAAGUCGGAUGUGAAAUCCCCGGGCUCAACCUGGGAACUGCAUUCGAAACUGGCAGGCUAGAGUCUUGUAGAGGGGGGUAGAAUUCCGGGUGUAGCGGUGAAAUGCGUAGAGAUCUGGAGGAAUACCGGUGGCGAAGGCGGCCCCCUGGACAAA
rnacentral:rRNA from 1 species